rnacentral:rRNA from 1 species
UACAGAGGUCUCGAGCGUUAGGCGGAAUCACUGGGCUUAAAGCGUGUGUAGGUGGAUCGUUAAGUACCUUGUGAAAUCCCACGGCUUAACCGUGGAACUGCUUGGUAUACUGGGUCGCUUGAGCCAUCCAGGGGCAACUGGAACAAGCGGUGGAGCGGUGAAAUGCGUAGAUAUCGCUUGGAACGCCAAAGGUGAAAACAGGUUGCUGGGGAUGCGCUGACACUGAGACGCGAAAGCGUGGGGAGCGAACAGG